rnacentral:rRNA from 1 species
AAGGGAAGCAGGUUAAAAUUCCUGCACCAAUUCACAUUUUGUCCAAUUCCUGACACAUCGGGUCCAGUGGAGCACUCUUGUCUGAGUGUUGCCUUCAGCGAUAAACCUGUGGAGUACCGUAAUGGUGAGAAGCAGACUAAGCUGUUGGGAGGCGGAGUAUUUCGCUUCUGCUCUAGCCUGGUGUCCGUGAAAAGGGAAUUGGAGUCGUGUGAGUUGUCCGUACCGAGAUCUGACACAGGUGCCCCUAGGUGAGUAGCCUAAGGCGUCGCGGCAGAAUCCGGGCGAGGGAAUUCGGCAAAUUAGCCCCGUACCUUUGGUAUAAGGGGUGCCAGCUCUGAAGAGAGCUGGUCGCAGUGACUAGGGAGCUCCGACUGUUUACUAAAAACACAGGUGGCUGCUAGUCCGUAAGGAUGAGUAUAGCCGCUGAAUCCUGCCCAGUGGUGGUAUCUGAAACCCGGUUACAACCGGACGAAGGACCACUAAACGGCGGGGGUAACUAUGACCCUCUUAAGGUAGCGUAAUACCUUGUCGCUUAAUUGGCGACUUGCACGAACGGCCUAACGAGAGCUCUACUGUCCCCGCCCGGAGCCCGAUGAAAUUGACUUACUGGCGCACAGUCCAGUACGUCCCAGCCGCAAGCGAAGACCCCGUGGAGCUUUACUGCAACCUGCCGUUGUGGUACGAGUUGUUAUGUGUAGAGUAGACGGGAGACGUUACACAGGUGCGAGCGCUAGCUCGUCGCCGAGUCACUGAUGAAACACCGUCCUUUUCGAUUCGUCCCACUCACCUCUUCGGAGGGACCCCGGUAGGCGGGCAGUUUGGGUGGGGCGCCACUCCCUCGAAAAUCUAACAAGGGAGCCCAAAGGUCAGCUUAGGUAGGUCAGGAAUCUACCGUUAAGUGCAAGGGCAAAAGCUGGCUUGACGUGGUUUGGCAACACAACAAACCACGAUGCGAAAGCAGGGCCUAGCGAACCAACCAGCGCCGUUAGUAGGUGCGGUUGAUAACAGAAAAGUUACCCCGGGGAUAACUGAGUUGUCUGGAGCAAGAGCCCACAUCGACCUCCAGGCUUGCUACUUCGAUGUCGUCUCUUCCUAUCCUGGGUGUGCAGAAGCACCCAAGGGUGGGGUUGUUCGCCCAUUAAAAGGGAUCGUGAGAUGGGUUUAGACCGUCGUGAGACAGGUUUGUUGCUAUGUGCUGGGACUGUCCAAUGCUUGAGGGGAAGGAUCCUCUAGUACGAGAGGAACGAGGGUUCGCAGCCACUAGUUUACCAGUUGUCUGACAAGGCACUGCUGGGCAGCCACGCUGUAAGGGAUAAGAGCUGAAAGCAUCUAAG